rnacentral:rRNA from 1 species
GCUAACACAUGCAAGUCGAACGGCAGCACAGGAGAGCUUGCUCUCUGGGUGGCGAGUGGCGGACGGGUGAGGAAUACAUCGGAAUCUACUUUUUCGUGGGGGAUAACGUAGGGAAACUUACGCUAAUACCGCAUACGACCUACGGGUGAAAGCAGGGGAUCUUCGGACCUUGCGCGAUUGAAUGAGCCGAUGUCGGAUUAGCUAGUUGGCGGGGUAAAGGCCCACCAAGGCGACGAUCCGUAGCUGGUCUAAGAGGAUGAUCAGCCACACUGGAACUGAGACACGGUCCAGACUCCUACGGGAGGCAGCAGUGGGGAAUAUUGGACAAUUGGGCGCAAGCCUGAUCCA